AGCGAACGCUGGCGGCAGGCUUAACACAUGCAAGUCGAGCGGGCCCUUCGGGGUCAGCGGCGGACGGGUGAGUAACGCGUGGGAACGUGCCUUCUGGUCUGGAAUAACCCUGGGAAACUAGGGCUAUAACGGAAAAGCCCCUUUGGGGGAAAGGUUUACUGCCGGAAGAUCGGCCCGCGUCUGAUUAGCUAGUUGGUGGGGUAACGGCCUACCAAGGCGACGAUCAGUAGCUGGUCUGAGAGGAUGAUCAGCCACACUGGGACUGAGACACGGCCCAGACUCCUACGGGAGGCAGCAGUGGGGAAUAUUGGACAAUGGGCGCAAGCCUGAUCCAGCCAUGCCGCGUGAGUGAUGAAGGCCUUAGGGUUGUAAAGCUCUUUUAUCCGGGACGAUAAUGACGGUACCGGAGGAAUAAGCCCCGGCUAACUUCGUG
rnacentral:rRNA from 1 species